rnacentral:lncRNA from 1 species
ACCCCUGUGUUUAGGACGACUCAGGGUUAAACUGUCAACCCUGAUCAGAUCAUCCGAAUCAUGCUCAACUCAAACAGUUCUGUGACUCCUCACAAGGACUACCCUGGCCAAGGUUUUGCUAAAUUGAAACACCACUGUACAUAGCUCCUAAACUGGAGUGGUCAAUCCCAUCUUGACACACGCACCGACAAGUCAAGUACUUGACUACACCCAGCAGCCUUCCAUCACUGAAUUAAAAAUUCAGGUAGUCCAGUGCCUAAGUACAGUGAGUUGCUUGCAAGUCAUCGUGGCGGUC